AAACUGACAUGCAGCAUAUUAUUGCAGCAAGAGAACUUGAUGACAUACGUUCGGAUAUCCAGUUUUAUCGAGUAAUCGAAGGUUUUGAACUGAUAUUGUGAACCAAGAUUUCAUGCAUUCUGGCUGGAGAAAGGGAAAUGAUAAACACACACCUUUUAUAGCUUCCUACACACCCCUGACUAAUCAUAUCCGUUGUUUUCGUUUGAUUUAUUCAAUCCGAUGGCCUGGAACAAAGAGGGGUGUGGGAAAAGUUAUAAAAGGUGUGUGAAAAUCAGCUCCCCUGGAGAAAUUGUAAUGAAUUGUAUUCCGUUACAAGGAAAUGGAUAUGAUGGUAAUGAUAAAUAGUUAGAUUUGUUGAAAAAAAUUCAAUUUGCUGAUGACAUGCCUUAUUCCAUUAUCCGAACAAAGAAAA
rnacentral:lncRNA from 1 species